rnacentral:rRNA from 1 species
CCUACGGGAGGCAGCAGUGGGGAAUAUUGGGCAAUGGCCGCAAGCCUGACCCAGCAACGCCGCGUGAAGGAAGAAGGCUUUCGGGUUUGAAACUUCUUUUGUCAGGGACGAAGCAAGUGACAGUACCUGACGAUUAAGCCACGGCUAACUACGAGCCAGCAGCCGCGGUAAUACGUAGGUGGCAAGCGUUAUCCGGAUUUACUGGGUGUAAAGAGCGUGUAGGCGGGACUGCAAGUCAGAUGUGAAAACCACGGGCUCAACCUGUGGCCUGCAUUUGAAACUGGAGUUCUUGAGUACUGGGGAGGCAGACGGAAUUCGUGGUGUAGCGGUGAAAUGCGUAGAUAUCAGGAGGAACACCAGUUGCGAAGGCGGUCUGCUGGACAGCAACUGACGCUGAGGCGCGAAAGCGUGGGGAGCAAACAGGAUUAGAUACCCCUGUAGUC